GGUGCUGUGGCUUAGUUGGUUUAAAGUGCCUGUCUAGUAAACAGGAGAACCUGGGUUCAAAUCCCAGCAGUACCU